rnacentral:rRNA from 1 species
AUGGCGUCUAGCGAGGGAAAUUAUCACCGUAGAGGUCCUUACUUUGAUGGUACUAAUUUUGCUAGUUGGAAGUAUAAGAUGAAAAUACAUAUUCUCGGACAUAACCCCGCCGUUUGGGUAAUUAUUUGUAUUGUCUUGCAAGAUGAAUUCUUUGAUGGGAGAGAUCCGGACUGUGAAGCUAAUGCGGAAGAAUUGAAGAUGCUGCAAUACAACGCUCAAGCUUGUGAUAUCAUCUUCAACGGAUUGUGCCCCGAAGAAUUCAACAAAAUCAUCCGUCUUGAGAAUGCAAAGGAAAUUUGGGAUACUUUGAUUGAUAUGCACGAAGGUACCAAAUCCGUAAAGGAAUCCAAGUUGGAUGUGCUCCAAAGUCAGCUUGACAAGUUCAAAAUGAAGGAUGGUGAAGGUGUCGCUGAAAUGUACUCUAGGCUUGCACUUAUCACAAAUGAGAUUGCCGGCUUAGGGAGUGAAGAGAUGACCGACAUAUUCAUCAUCAAGAAGAUCCUAAGAGCAUUGGAUGGAAAGUAUGAUACCGUGUGCACAUUGAUCCAAAUGAUGCCAAACUACAAAGAUCUCAAGCCAACGGAAGUCAUUGGAAGAAUUGUUGCUCAUGAGAUGUCACUCAAGGAUAAGGAGGAAUUUCACAACAAGUCAAGUGGUGGUUACAAAGCCUCAAGUGAAGCCCCCACAUCAUCAAGUGAGAAACAAACCUUCAAUGAAGAAUUGAGCUUAAUGGUGAAGAACUUCAACAAAUUCUACAAGAGUAGAAGCAAAGAAAGAAGCUCCAAGUCAAGGUCUUACCAUGACAAAAGAUCUUCUAGUCGAGAGCGCAAUUGCUACAAUUGUGGGAGGCCUGGACACUAUUCCAAUGAGUGUACGGCACCCUACAAAAGAAGAGAAGAUUCUCCAAAAAGAAGAAGCAAAAGAGAAGAAUCACCACCGAGAGAGAGGAGGAGUAGAGAUGAUCAUUAUGAACGAAGACCCUCAUGGAGAAGCAAGGAUUCGGAAAGGAAGGACAAGUCAUCAAGGAGCUACACAAAAUGA